rnacentral:tRNA from 1 species
AAUUAAGUGGCUGAAGAAUUUAGGCGUUGGUCUCUUAAACCAUUUUAUAGUUAAACUCUUAAUUA